UUCGCCAUCGCUUUCCCGCGCAGCCCAGGGGCCCCUUCCGGGAUCUGUAGCACAGUGGAGGCCUGCGGGCGACGCGGGGCCCUGGGGCCACCCUGAGGGGUGCACGGCGUCCCCAGAGUGAGGAGGCUUCGCGUAGCAGAACCUGGACGACAUCCGAAGGUGCAAUUAGCAGAAAAUGACAUCGCAGAAUCAUUGUCAUAUGAAGAGGCAUUCAAAGUUCAAAGAGUAUGAAGCCAAAAAAGACUGAGCUGUCAGGUAUACUAGCCGGGGAUGUGUAUGUACUGAGUAGCGGGCACAGCAAACUUCGUCUUCCAGAAGCUUCAUCACACUUCAUGUAAAACAAUAAGUGAAGAAAAUCUAUACAUUUGCUUCCAGUUGUGAUCUUGUGAGUUCAAGGCAAAUUGCCAUGUUCAACAUCUGGGAUUCAUCAUGUCUGGUGUUACCUCAUUGAUGGGCACACAUCUUUCCCAGAUGUGGGGGGAAAAACGGCCUAUGAAGUUACAAGGAAAGCAAACCAGUAUUCAUGCUCUCAGCUUUCUGCUACAGCCAGGUUCUGGCUUUCUCGCUGUUUAAUUUCUUGCUUCAUAAAAGGGAAGAAGAUGGAGAAGCCAAGGUUUCUUUGAAAACAGAUAUUUGCACAAGGAGGCGGCCAAGGCUGUGUUAACAUUUACCAUUAAAACCCAACACAUCUAGAUGAAACACCAAAUGCAAAAGCUUCCUGUCUCCCAAAUAAAUCUCUUUUGCAAUUUGUCA